rnacentral:rRNA from 1 species
UGGGGAAUUUUGGACAAUGGGGGCAACCCUGAUCCAGCAAUGCCGCGUGUGUGAAGAAGGCCUUCGGGUUGUAAAGCACUUUUGUCCGGAAAGAAAACGCCGUGGUUAAUACCCGUGGCGGAUGACGGUACCGGAAGAAUAAGCACCGGCUAACUACGUGCCAGCAGCCGCGGUAAUACGUAGGGUGCAAGCGUUAAUCGGAAUUACUGGGCGUAAAGCGUGCGCAGGCGGUCCGCUAAGACAGAUGUGAAAUCCCCGGGCUUAACCUGGGAACUGCAUUUGUGACUGGCGGGCUAGAGUAUGGCAGAGGGGGGUAGAAUUCCACGUGUAGCAGUGAAAUGCGUAGAGAUGUGGAGGAAUACCGAUGGCGAAGGCAGCCCCCUGGGCCAAUACUGACGCUCAUGCACGAAAGCGUGGGGAGCAAACAGGAUUAGAUACCCUGGUAGUCCACGCCCUAAACGAUGUCAACUAGUUGUCGGGUCUUCAUUGACUUGGUAACGUAGCUAACGCGUGAAGUUGACCGCCUGGGGAGUACGGUCGCAAGAUUAAAACUCAAAGGAAUUGACGGGGUCAU